CGUUUUACGUUUUUUUAGAUAAAAUUGAAUAAAAAAUUAAUUAAUGGACUAAAAGUUAUUUAAAUUUUUGUUUUGUAUUUACGUUAACGAUAUUGAAAUAUUUCAUUUGUUUGUAAAAUCGGUCCAUGCCUGUUACUUAUGCUCAUGUAUGUCAUAGUAUAUGUUAAAGCUUUCGUGUUAAGCGCUUUUAUAGCAUGAUACGCAUGGCGCUUACAUACUUUUUGGCGGAUUACAGUCGCGCUGCAAUUUUGUCGCCAUGCAUGAAAAUCGCCAUGCCGAAUUAGUUGGCGCGAUUUGGAAUAAUAGUUAGCAAUUUCAAUAGUGGGACUUUUGAAAAGCGGCACAGUUUCGAGGCGCAAGUGAUAUUCUGACUCGGUCAUUUCGCUACGAGUACGGCUGGAAAGCAGAAGUGCGCGAGUUAAGUCCAAGUUAUUCGAAAGUUAUAUUGAGUUUGAGUUCAGUCUAAGAUUGAGUUGAAGUUAAUUGAAGUUUAUUACGGUGCAAGUUAUUUUUGCAAAUUAAAGGUAAAAGUAGUGAGUGAGUUUCUUAAUGUAAAAGUGAUGUUAAACGUUUUUGGUGUCUUUCUUUCACGUUUAGUGGACCGAGGUCCGAGAUUUCGCAGUUUCUGCUGAAUUUUUAUUGAGUUACGGAACUAUCUACGAAAAAAGCGCCCAGCGCUUUUUUCGUACGGCUGGUUUUUGUGAAUUUCGUUCGGCAACCGUCAUCGCCGAAUCGGGGAACUUCUGGUGGAGUGUACCGCCAUUUCCGUCUGGAUCUUCGCGACCCGUGUGCCCAGCAAAGGCCCGCCUCCAGUAGGCAGUCAAACGGAGGCGCGAGUGAAGUCGCUCUUUCAUCUAGUAGCGAGGUUCUCCCGUCGGUCGCCAAAAGCCGAAGGUAAGGUCCCGUCCGUCAAUCCCCGAGGACCAGAGUACGAGAGGCGAUUCGCUGAAGCGUGUCGUCAAUAGCACGCCGCGAAUCCGAUCCAAUUCCGGAAAGUAGGAAACGUACUAUUCCCCGCUCGGUCAUAGCUGGAAUCUAAGUACGCGAAGCCGGGUCGCUGGGCUCUUUAGUGCCUUCCUAUUGACCGGAGGAGGAUCCUCCCGGGUACAAGCGGCUUCCGCCGUUUCCCUCUCGAGUAGACAAUCGGAAGCUUCCAACCAGCCGCCACUCCCUCCGCACCGGUAAUUCGGCCAUACCGCACACGGGUCCUUCGUCGUCGCUGCGCGCCAAAUCGCAGCACGGUCACGCCGGCAAACACUAUUAUUGACCGCCAUCACCGAACGUCGAAGUCGUCGCCAUCUUCGAGCAACGUCCUCCGUCACCGAACAUCGGAUCACCGAAAAACCUGCGCAGGUACGUGAGAGCUUUUAUACAUGGCCAUGUUUUGCUCUUUUCCAUUCCGUAUGAGAACCUUCCGUCCAACACGAAUGAAUUCCUAGAAUAAAUAGUAGAAAGUUUGAAAUUUCGUUUAGUUCCGUUACGUUUCACAUCGCUUAAUUGAAUAAACAUACUCACUACCUUCCGUUACGUUUUAGUUCCGUUACUUCGCUCGGAUGAGUAAGAAUUCCUUCUAGUUUUCCCUAAGUAUCUUUUAGCCUGUGAAAGAGUUGGAUUUAAACUUGCGUUCGAAGAAAUUCUGCCGUUUACCAAGAACCGUUCAAAACCGUCCCUGAGUGAAAUAGUCUCUUGCAAAGUCGGGCAAAUUUCAACACGACCGGUGGUCUCUCUUUGAGAGUGGCGCUUAAGCCACCGUGCUUUAACCAAAUCCUCAAGAAUAGUUUACGAACGGUUACAUUGG